GGAUGGGUGGCCGAGUGGUUUAAGGCGCCGGUCUUGAAAACCGGAAGGGGCUCACGCCUCUCGGGGGUUCGAAUCCCUCCCCAUCCGCCA
rnacentral:tRNA from 1 species